UAUUCAAGGAUAUUUGAGGAGAGGUUAUCCGUGUUAUGUUCGCUUCAUUCAUCAUGAAUAAUACAUGGUUAACCUCUUUUUGAAUAUCAGACUC
rnacentral:pre_miRNA from 1 species